UGAAAGAUAAUUAGUUUUUGGACCUGGUAAAUGUUAACAAAUUAGUAAACAAAGAUAAUCAACAGUUAAAUGGGCAGCUUCGCUUGGAAAUGCAUUGAAUCGAUUUCUGGCCAAACAUGGUGCGCGAGGAGAUAUGCAGUCGUCUUUUUAUGGUAAACGAGAACAGCCAUAAGGUUCUGUUUGCUGUGGGCAGAUGGUAUAUUGCCCUUAGGAUGGAAAGAUACUGAACGGCGAAAAUAUACAGCGCUCUCACUUGUGUUAUAAUCAAAUGCAGUCUCAGUAGAUGGCGGUCAGAAAUUAUCAAGCCUCGUGGUCGACAGACCGUGAGUACAUCUAUCCUGCGGACAAACUAGCUCAGGGGUGGCAAGCCACUGGCAUGCGUGCCAGAAAUAGCACAAGACAUAAUUUUUUGUGCACGUCGAUUAUCAUAAAAACAGUACGAAAAAAUUUUGAAGUAGGUGCACCAUGGAAUUGUAAUAAUCGCUGUCAAAAUGAUUAGUGGCACGUCCAUAUUGCAUUAAUCAUUUCUUUAAAAAAAUGACACUUGAUGCAUAAAUGUUCGCUACUCCUGCACUAGCUGUACUAACUCGCAGUCUCGAUUUUUUUUACUGUGGAACAAAUAGUACAGAUGAUAGUAUUAGGAAACGUAAUUAGCUAAUAUUUCUAUUGUUAUUGA